AUGCUGGGGACCCUCUGCACUCUCAUCACUGCUCUCACAUGUGUGAGUGGUGUGACGGUGGUGACACAGAAGCCUGUUGUAGCCGUGACGACAGGAGAGACAGUCUCCAUAGACUGUAACCUCGGGAUUGACAAUUAUGCUUGGUGGUAUAAACAGAUUCCAGGAGGAGUUCCUCAGUUUGUGUUACGUUUUCAUCGCGGCGACAGCACUCCAAUAUAUGGCACUGGUUUCUCAUCUCCAAAGUUCACAUCCACUCAUCAGUCAACUACAGAUUAUCGUUUGAUCAUAAAGAACAUUGAGGAGGGAGACUCAGCCGUCUAUUACUGUAACACAUGGGACGACUCUGUUAAAGAGUCCGUAUCACAGUGAUUUACACUGUGACAAAAACCUCUUCACUGAGUACUUCUGCUUUUUGAGACGCUGACACAAUUUGAGUGAA